UUAUUUCAGCAGCAAAUAUACUAAAAUGGAAACAAUCCAAGGAAGAUUGGCGUGGUCCCCGAGGAAGGAUGAUAUGCAAAUAUUUUAAUGAUAUACUUUUCUUU